rnacentral:tRNA from 1 species
CCUUCGAUAGCUCAGUUGGUAGAGCGGUGGACUGUAGAAGUUGUUUCAGCGCUGCACGUUGAGUUGUAGUUGUGUUUACGGGUGUUGUUGAGGUUUGUUGUGUUGAGUCAGUAGUCAGUGCGAGAGAAAGCUUUGUGUUGUAAUUGCAAACAAUGCACACUUUUCACUCCUCCUACUGUCUCAAUCCAAAGUUUCUCAGCUUUCCACCCAUCUCCACUGAUCAGCAUGUGUGUUUCAGUAAUCCAUAGGUCACUGGUUCAAAUCCGGUUCGAAGGA